GCCGGGCACAGUGGCAUGUGCCGUAGUCACAGCUACUUGGGAGGCUGAGGUGGGAGGAUCACUUGAGCCGAGGCGUUCUGGGCUGUAGUGCGCUAUGCUGAUUGGGUGUCCGCACUAAGUUCAGCAUCAAUAUGGUGACCUCCCGGGAGCGGGGAAACAUCAGGUUGCCUAGGAGAGGUGAACUGGCCCAGGUCAGAAAUGGAGCAGGUCAAAACUCCCAUGCUGAUCAGUAGUGGGAUUGUGCCUGUGAAUAGCCACUGCACUCCAGCCUGGGCAACAUAUCAAGACACCAUCUCA
rnacentral:SRP_RNA from 1 species